GUCCGGCUAGCUCAGUUGGUAGCGCAUGGGAUUCUUGAUCUCAGUGGGUUUGAGCCCCAUGCUGGGUG